CAAGAGGGGGCAUGCAGCCAUCUGAACCAACCACUACCCAGGGAAGUCUGCCCGACCAGGAAAUCAGAACUCCCCAACUGGCCCCCUUGGCUACGCGUCACGGGUUCUCUACGCACCUCUGUUUCUUUGUCUGCUGAGUGGACUCAGUAAUCCCUACACCAGGCCUGCCCUGAGGUGUAAGAUGUGUGCCCUGAGCUCUGGGCACAGGCCAGCAGGAAGCACCAGCAGGCCUCUCCCCUGGGAUUCUCUCCGAUGACACUCUUCCUGAACAGACAGGGAAACUGAGGCCUGCCAGCAGUCACAGAGCCAGCCAGAGGAGAGCUCAAGUGGCCUUCGGACCACCAUGCAACCCCC